CGGUACCAAGAGCUGCAAGACCGCGAGGUGGAGCUAAUCUCAUAAAACCGUUCUCAGUUCGGAUUGUAGGCUGCNACUCGCCUACAUGAAGCUGGAAUCGCUAGUAAUCGCGGAUCAGCAUGCCGCGGUGAAUACGUUCCCGGGCCUUGUACACACCGCCCGUCACACCACGAGAGUUUGUAACACCCGAAGUCGGUGGGGUCACCUUCCCCGAGCCAGCCGCCUAAGGUGGGANNAGAUGAC
rnacentral:rRNA from 1 species